AAUAAUUCAGAAUGAAUUUCCAUCAAAAAUCAGUAUUUGGCUAAUUGUUAACUUCAAAAUCCAGUAAUACACUCACUUGCUGCCACCAGCCCGUACAUCAUGUCCUCCCAUGGCUCUGCCGCCCCGCUCCUCCACAGGUUGCAAUGGAAGAAGAGAUCGCCACGCUCGUCAUUGACAAUGGCUCUGGCAUGUGCAAAGCUGGCUUUGCUGAGGAUGGAUGGCCCCGGAGCUGUGUUCACCUCCAUCAUCUCCAUCAUCAGGCACCCCCCUGCACCAGGGGGUGAUGGUGGGCAUGGGCCAGAAGGACUCCUACAUGGGCCUCGAGGCCCAGAGCAAGCGCAACAUCCUGACCCUGAAGUACCCUAUCGAGCAUGGCAUCAUCACCAUCUGAGACGACAUGGAGAAGAUCUGGCACCACACCUUCUACAACGAGCUGUGCAUGGCCCUAGAGAAGCACCCGGUGCUGCUGACCGAGGCCCCCCAAAUCCCAAGGCCAACAGAGACAAGAUGACUCAGAUCAUGUUUGAGACCUUGAACACCCCAGCCAUGGCCAUGCCCUUCCCCCAUGCCAUCCUGCGUCUGGAUCUGGAUGGCUGGGACCUGACCAACUACUUCAUGGAGAUCCUCACUGAGCUUCACCAUCACGGCCAAGCAGGAGAUUGUGCGCGACAUCAACGAGAAGCUGUGCCACGUCGCCCUGGACUUCGAGCAGGAGAUGGACACUGCCACAUCCUCCUCCUCCUCCCUGGAGAAGAGCUAUGAGCUGCCUGACGGCCAGGUCAGGUCAUCACCAUCGGCAACAAGUGGUUCUGGUGUCUGCAGGCACUGUUCCAGCCUUCCUUCUUGGGCAUGGAAUCCUGCAGCAUCCACAAGACCACCUUCAACUCCAUCAUGAAGUAUGACGUGGACAUCCGCAAAGACCUGUACGCCAACACAGUGCUGUCUGGCAGCACCACCAUGUAUCCUGGCAUCACCGCCCUGGCAUCCAGCACCAUGAAGAUCAAGAUCAUCAUGCCCCCACAGCACAAGUACUCGGUGUAGAUCGGUGGUUCCAUCCUGGCCUCACUGUCCACCUUCUAGCAGAUGUGGAUUAGCAAUUAGCUAUGUAUGACGAGUCUGGCCCCUCCAUCGUCCACUGCAAAUGCCUCUAAAUGGACUGCAAGCAGAUGUUCAGCAUUUGCUGCAUGGGUUAAUUCAGGAGUAUAAAUUUGCCCCUGGCAAAUGCAUAAACCUCAUGCUAGCCUCACAAAACUGGAAUAAGCCUUCAAAAAGAAAUUUGUGGCCAGGUGUGGUGGCCCAUGCCUGUGAUCCCAGCACUUUGGGAGGCCUAGACGGGUGGAUCACAAGGUCAGGAGUUUGAGACCGGCCUGGCCAACAUGGUGAAACCCCGUCUCUCCUAAAAAUACAAAAAUUAGCCAGGCAUGGUGGCAUUCGUCUAUAAUCCCAGCUACUGGGGAGGCUGAGGCAGGAGAAUCGCUUGAACCUGGGAGGCGGAGGUUGUGGUGAGCCGAGAUUGCACCGCUGCACUCCAGCCUGGGCAACAGGAACAGGG